ACUGAAUGGAGAAUAUCUCUUGGACCUUGGCUGUCUCCUGGAAAGUAGUGCUAUGCAGUCAGAGAGUCCCUUCACUGUUGGGUGAAUUGCGUCUACCCUGAUCAAACUGAACACUAACAGUUGCUAUCUGCCAACAACUACAAAGCGUGUUUUGUGGGAUUUACUGUGGCCUUUCUCAGAGGAAGAAGGCCAUGGACAUUAAAGACCUCAAGUCCUGUGGCUAAAUCAGUGUUGUUCAUCUCCUGAAUUCCUUUAAUUGCUUGCUUCUACUGGAGUCAAAUAGGGUAUCCUCAACCUCCAAUUUAUGGCUUUGUGUUUAUUCUUUAGUGCUUAUUUCUCAGGCAGCUCCUCAUCCCAUGUGAUCCCUUCAUCCUGUUUUUGUCAUCUAUUCUUAACACACAUCAGAAUUAGUCUGUAAUUCUAGGUAGGAAACUUGUCUUUAUCUGCCUAAUUUUUUGGAUUCUUCUGAUGCAAACUUAAGCAUAGAGCUAGUGUUAAGGACAGACAAAUCUACUUUUAGGUGAGAGAUACUUUUGUGUUAAGGUUUUUUGUUUAAUUUCAGUUUCUGCCUCAGUGUUUUUAGUGUCAUCUUUUUCUGUCAAGAAAAAUCAAGUUGAAGCAACAUGACAGAAUGCAAAUCAGCAGCAGUAUACUCUUUUAAAAUGUGUAAUAGCUAAAAGCAUGAGGUUCAACAUUUUUAGUUGCUGUACUAUUUCAUUCUAUGAAUUCCUAUCAAGAACUAAUAUUUAAAAGUGUAAAUGAGAGGAAAAAAUAGAUUGCAUUUACUAUGUGUCUUUUUAAUAUGCAAAACUGAAUGUGAACAGAGAAAAAGAUUUAUAAUUAGAUAAAUGAAUCAUUCUUGAUGCAUUAGGAUAUGACUUGUGCUUAAGUAAUUCCAGAUAGAAUGAUGUCCCUCUCAGUUAUGUAGAAAGCAAGAAAAAAGUGCUGUGGAUGAAAUUCUAAUAGUUCUAAUGUUGAGCCAAUAUAAACCAAUGUCUCAGACUGUAUGCCACUUGAACUCAAAAGCAGGCAUUCACUUUUCCUUUUCCUAAUAAUAGCAUUUGCCUGAUAUAAAAAGUUAACUCAAGAAAAACAAGAAAAUAAGGGGGGGGGGGAGGUGUUCACCUGAAUCUUGAUGGUAUCAAGUUGUGCAACGUGGAAGGACUGUGAAUGGCUGUAUUCUAGGGUGCUGAGCUGUAACCUUGCACUGUACCUGAAUGCAGAAUAGCCAGAUGCUGCCCUUUCUGUGACUGCCUCUAUCACAGACUGCUGAGAACAGAUCCAUGCUCACCUUGAUGAGCACAGAGGUAUCUGUGUGCCUAGACAAACUAAUGCUGAUGCUACUAGAGGACAUCUGAGGACAUCUGCAGCACCUAGAUACUGAGGAAACAGCAGUGGCUAGGGAAAGCCCAUGGAAUUCAGUUAUUUUCUGAUCUUGAAUGAUUAAGUAGGCUAUUUGAAUGUUAUUUUAACAUAGUUUUUGUUUUUCUCCUUAAUCAAGUAUUAUAUACUCCUCCAGCUACUAUGCCUUUGGCUCUGGUGAACUGUGGAUCUUUACUCAUUCUUGGUUGAAAUAAGAUGAAAUUGGGCAACAUGCACUAACAGCAGUGCUCAGUGGUUUGCACUCAUUGCAAAAUGUGCCAAAACAUGUUAUUGUUCUAGAAAUGGAGAUCUAAGACCUACUCCUUUUGCCUGGUUUCUGUUGCACAACCAAGAGCCUGCUCAGUGAUUUCUUCUGACCUCAGUGGGGGAUCUUAGGGCUGGAGUGGGCUGAGAGACAGAGUCUUCAUAAUCACUCUUGAGCAUUGCAGGAUGAAAAGAUUAAAGAGAUUAAAAAUAGUUUACGUGGUAGAAAAAUGCCUUACUCAUCAAGAUUGAAAAGCUUCCCUGGUCAGGUUGGUUCUUGUGAAGUUGUUUUACAAGUGAAACUGAUGUGAAAGGUCCUAUAGACCUUAGGGCUUUGCAGUUCAGGCUCUUCAUGUGGUGUGGGGCAUCUAAUUCCUUGCCAGACUUGCUUUGAAGAGAUUUUGAAUUAUCUUGACUGUGGGUUGGGGUAUGUUUAGGGCUCCCUGUCUUGCUUCAUAUGGCUUUAUUUAUGUAAAAAGAAAAUCCUGUUGCUGUUGAAGGCAAUGUCCAUAGUGGUGUAGACAUCUCUUACCUAUUUCUUAAUCUGAGGUGGCCAACUCAGUUUAUAUUACCUGUGUAGCUACUAAGUUUCAGCUCAGGAUGGUAAUAUGUGUUCCAGACAAUAAAGAAACCAGAGGCUAAAACUGCACUGCUGUUUUGCAGUCCUAAGUGAUGAAUGUACUUACAAUGCAAUAAGGGAUUAAAGAAUUGAUAGUCU
ensembl:lncRNA